rnacentral:rRNA from 1 species
UACGUAGGGUGCGAGCGUUAAUCGGAAUUACUGGGCGUAAAGCGUGCGCAGGCGGUUUUGUAAGCCAGAUGUGAAAUCCCCGGGCUUAACCUGGGAAUGGCAUUUGGGACUGCAAGGCUGGAGUGCGGCAGAGGAGACUGGAAUUCCUGGUGUAGCAGUGAAAUGCGUAGAUAUCAGGAGGAAUACCGAUGGCGAAGGCAGGUCUCUGGGCUGACACUGACGCUCAUGCGCGAAAGCGUGGGGAGCAAACAGG